rnacentral:rRNA from 1 species
GACGAACGCUGGCGGCGUGCUUAACACAUGCAAGUCGAACGGAAAGGCCCUGCUUUUGUGGGGUGCUCGAGUGGCGAACGGGUGAGUAACACGUGAGUAACCUGCCCUUGACUUUGGGAUAACUUCAGGAAACUGGGGCUAAUACCGGAUAGGAGCUCCUGCUGCAUGGUGGGGGUUGGAAAGUUUCGGCGGUUGGGGAUGGACUCGCGGCUUAUCAGCUUGUGGGUGGGGUAGUGGCUUACCAAGGCUUUGACGGGUAGCCGGCCUGUGAGGGUGACCGGCCACAUUGGGACUGAGAUACGGCCCAGACUCCUACGGGAGGCAGCAGUGGGGAAUAUUGCACAAUGGGCGGAAGCCUGAUGCAGCAACGCCGCGUGCGGGAUGACGGCCUUCGGGUUGUAAACCGCUUUCGCCUGUGACGAAGCGUGAGUGACGGUAAUGGGUAAAGAAGCACCGGCUAACUACGUG